GGAUAACGUCACUUUUUUACAUGGUAUCAAUUGACAAUUGAUGCUAUGGGACGUACGCGCAAGCGCAGACGGCAUAUGACAGAUUUUAAUUACAUGUUUUAACGUUGUUUUCUGUCAGUUUCAUUAGAAUGGAGAUAACAAUAUUGUAUUUUAAGCUCAGACGGCAUCAAUUGAGGAUUUGAUGGUCACAAAUGCCCGUUUACUGUCUCCGCUAACGCGUCGCCAGUAAACUGAAUUUG
rnacentral:lncRNA from 1 species